rnacentral:rRNA from 1 species
AGAGUUUGAUUCUGGCUCAGGAUGAACGCUGGCGGCGUGCUUAACACAUGCAAGUCGAACGGAGACAAGAGAAAGCUUGCUUUUCUUAUCUUAGUGGCGGACGGGUGAGUAACGCGUGGGUAACCUACCCUGUACAGGGGGAUAGCAGUUGGAAACGACUGAUAAAACCGCAUAAAACGGCAGUACCGCAUGGUACAACCGUCAAAUAUUCAUAGGUACAGGAUGGGCCCGCGUCUGAUUAGCUAGUUGGUGGGGCAACGGCCUACCAAGGCGACGAUCAGUAGCCGGCCUGAGAGGGUGAACGGCCACAUUGGGACUGAGACACGGCCCAAACUCCUACGGGAGGCAGCAGUGGGGAAUAUUGGACAAUGGGGGAAACCCUGAUCCAGCGACGCCGCGUGAGUGAAGAAGUAUUUCGGUAUGUAAAGCUCUAUCAGCAGGGAAGAUGAUGACGGUACCUGACUAAGAAGCACCGGCUAAAUACGUGCCAGCAGCAGC